ACGGUGCUGUGCUGGGCUGACUGCUAACCCAUCUUCCCACCCCCAGCCCCACUCAGGGGCCCCUCCUUCUCCUUUCCUAGGCUCUGGAAUGUGUCACAUGGGAAAUGGAUCAUGUGGCUAAGGGGGAAAUGUGGCCAUCGUCUCCCUCCCUUCCCCCACUUCUCUUUUCAGGAGCAAAGCCGCAGAAAUCUCUGACCUGAUUGGCUCUGAUCAGAAAAUCUCCAUAUGGAAAGGGCAAGACCAGCCUCAGACCUCCAGCCCUCCUCGCUGCUUUUUCUCCCCAUCAGCAUCCGAUGGAGCUACGUGCUCCUUAAUCUAUCUUGGGGCCCCCUUGAAACACAUCUGGGCGAUGGCGUGUUCAGCACCACGGACAGCAUUACCCUCCCUUCCGCACUCCUUAAAGCCAUUUGUCCAUUGCAGGGCAGCAGAAGCUCACAAAAAAAGGCAUUUCUCUUCGAGAUCACAUAUCCACCUUUUAGAAGCCAAUCAAGAGACUCCUAAUAGUCUACUGCAGAGACAUGUAAGGAACACAACUGUAUGUGGACCACAAGAGCCAGCUUGCAAAUGCUUUGCAUU